UGAACAUACCACUUGUUGCCUCGGCGGAUCAGCCCGCUCCCGGUAAAACGGGACGGCCCGCCAGAGGACCCCUAAACUCUGUUUCUAUAUGUAACUUCUGAGUAAAACCAUAAAUAAAUCAAAACUUUCAACAACGGAUCUCUUGGUUCUGGCAUCGAUGAAGAACGCAGCAAAAUGCGAUAAGUAAUGUGAAUUGCAGAAUUCAGUGAAUCAUCGAAUCUUUGAACGCACAUUGCGCCCGCCAGUAUUCUGGCGGGCAUGCCUGUUCGAGCGUCAUUUCAACCCUCAAGCACAGCUUGGUGUUGGGACUCGCGUUAAUUCGCGUUCCUCAAAUUGAUUGGCGGUCACGUCGAGCUUCCAUAGCGUAGUAGUAAAACCCUCGUUACUGGUAAUCGUCGCGGCCACGCCGUUAAACCCCAACUUCUGAAUGUUGACCUCGGAUCAGGUAGGAAUACCCGCUGAACUUAAGCAUAUCA
rnacentral:rRNA from 1 species